rnacentral:lncRNA from 1 species
AUUCAAGAUGGAGACGCCCUGGUUCAGACGCCUCUGACAGAUGCUCCAAGAUGAUGUGAAGCAAAUUUCACGACUAACGAUGGCCCGAAGGCUCCUUCCCUCCACGGGAUUCUGCUCCAGCCACAGCAGAGACUAUUUUGCACACCUUCCAGACAUUGCUGCCCCAUUCCAGGUACCUCAAGGUCAAUAAACACAACAUGCAAAUCUCAUCUUAUACCCAUCAGGAGUAUAAACAAGACAGUUGAAUGCACACUGUUAUCAAACACUUUGUCUCUUACUGUUUUUUAAUUUUAUUUUUUUGCUGCUUUCAAUUGCUGUUUUAAGAACACAUUAUAUCUCCUUUAGGGAAUAAAUUCAACACAAUGAGAAAAUUAAGUACAUUUUCACGGUUUUAGGGUUUUGAAUUCUGUGUCAUAACAUAGAUUUGCUAUCUAAUCAAAGGAAGUAAUGAUGAUAACAUUAAUAGCAGCACCACUAACAACAAUAGUACUCACAGCACCACUGGUUGCAAAGAGUUUGGGAAAAACUUACAAGCCUCUUAAAACUGAGUUAGUGGAUUUUAGCUACUCACCAGCUUUUUACUUUUCUUAUAUUCUUAUAUGGGUGCUAACUCUUAAGGACAAUACUACUUAACAACUAGUUACAAAAAGUAAUGCCCUUCUCUUAGGGAAAAGGUGAUAACAACAUUUUUGUAAAGUAUCCUAAAUCCAAAGACUCUUUCUGUAACCUUCCUUUCCCCCUUAGUGUCUCAAUAUCAAGUUGCAAUAGAAGCUUGCUGUUAGUGGAUCUGCACUUUAAAAUGGUACUUAAUAUGAAUACAUAAUCAGAAGGGAUUUUUUUACUUGUUUUGUGAAAAUGAACUGCAAGUCAACUAAGAUAUUUAAAACAAGGAAAAAGAAAGUCUUCUUCUACAGUGCCUCCAGGGUGAGUCACAGACUUAAUCACCUGCUAUAUUUACCUCAUGAAAGAAUCAAUGCCACUGCUGCAAGUCUUUCAUGGUAAAGAUUUUGAAAGCCAAGAGCUAAAAAUCAAUCCUACUACAUAUGCAUCAUUCAUAUGUUCAAAACAGCUCUAUAAGAAAUCCUGUUGUGUAGUAAAUCCUAUUAAUUUCUCCAUGACAUUGAUACCAUAAAUUUACCUGCAACCUCAUUCUUACCUAUAUGCAUUUGUCAUUGUUAAAUGAAUACCCUUAAGAAACUUCAUAUUACCACAGAUACAAAAAGAGGGAUUUUUUAAAAAGUAUUCUGCAAUCUUAAUUCCCCAUGUUCAAAGGGCUCAACAUAAGCAAUUAUUGUGAAUCCUAAUUAAAUACUGCAAAACUCAUCCUCUUUGUCUACAUCAGUCUUCUCAUUACAAGAAGGGAAAAGAACUUGUUCUUGACUUUUCUGGCCUGUGUACUAUCACUCUUGAACAUAGGCAUGAUAUUGAAUCUUUCGGAAAGCACUGUGCUUCUAUGCAGUGAUAAGCCAUUAGGAUGUGGAGGGAAACAUUCAUUUUUCCAGAUAUUACUGCACAUUCAUGACAGAUUUUGAAUUCCCUCAGCAGAUACAAGUGCCCUUCUUGUCUCAUGGACUCAAUCAGGAGAUAUGAAGAUUGACAACUGAUUGGCAAAAGUGAAGUCACUGUGUGACCUGUCCUGAAAAGAUGGUGGCUGCAUCUAGAAACAGUGACGUGUUUGGGGAACAAUGGAGUAGAGUCAGAGACGCACCUACUAAGACAUUUUGGCUGCUGGGCACCUGAACAUGAGCAAUGUGAAGCUUCCGGUGCGUGUUUCCAUAGAGAGUUUUCUGAUAAUGUGUCAGUUAUUUUUAGCCACAAAACACUAUAAGACAACUGAGCAUGCUUUUCAGUGGCUAACAACUAUAAGCAUUAAUUUUGCUCAUGCACUAAGGGAUGACUGAGCCCUUCUGCUGGCCUGGGCCACGCCUAACUGAUUGCAGCUGGGCUAGCUCUUGCAUCAGCUGGUGGAUUGGCCUGGGGCAGGCUGGCCUGGGGUAGCUUUGGUUGGGAUGAUUUUUUUCUGCUCUGUGGUCUUUCAUCUUGUGAUAGGCUAGUCUCGGCUUUUCCUACAGUGGAGGCAGGGGUCUGAGGGAAGAAGUGGAAACACUUGAGGCCUGGGAGGCCUACUCUGAUAAUAAGCCAAGUCACCUCUGCUGCAUUCUAUUGGUUAGAGCAAGCCACAGCUCAGCCCAGACACAAGAGUUGGGCAACACCCUCUACUUCUUGAUGAGAGGAGCUAACAUGUAACUUUGCAAAUGGAAUAAAUAUAGAAAAAGGUGAAAAUUCAGGGCCAUUUUUGCAAUCAGUCCAUUACAGAUGGUUUAUUAUUGAGAAACAUCUAUACAUCCAUAUCCAUAUAAAAUUACAUAUCUGUAUCUAUUUUUGAUGUUAUAGUUGACCCCUGAUCCAGAGAAGAAAGGGAUAGAGUGUAAUAAUCUCUGCUUUCUGGUGGAUCUCCUGUUGUUGAGUAAAAGGGAAUAUGAUCAGGAAAUCACAAAUAUCAAAAGAAUGGAAUGGAUAACUGACAAAUGAUUUAUAUUCCAUAUGCGUAUGUCACAUUUAAUAAAACAAAAUUAUGGCUGAGCACAGUGGCUCACACCUAUAAUCUUAGCACUUUGGAGGCCGAGGAGGGCGGAUCACAAGGUCAAGUUUAAGACCAGCCUGAACGACAUGGUGAAACCCCGUCUCUACUAAAAAUACAAAAAUUAGCUGGGCAUGGUGGUGCAUACCUGUAAUCCUAGCUAUUCAGGAGGCUGAGGCAGGAGAAUCGCUUGAACCCAGGAGGCAGAGGUUGCAGUGAGCUAAGAUCGUGCCACUGCACUCCAGCCUGGGUGACAGAGUGAGACUCCAUCUCAAACAAACAAACAAACAAACACCCCACAAAACUACAUAAUAGGAAAAUGUACUUGAUAAUAUUAAACUUUUAAGCAGUCCUUUAGAAAUGGCUGAGAAAAGUGAUUAGGAAAAGGGUGAAAACCUCCAACACUUAGGGAAAAUCCUGUAGCUAUCAGCGGCAGAAAGCAAUCCUUAAUUUUCCGUAUGUCCCAGAGGGAAUGAGAAAGUCAACUGGACUGAGGCUGU